rnacentral:tRNA from 1 species
CGGAGCGUAGCGCAGUCUGGUAGCGCACCUGCCUUGGGAGCAGGGGGCCGGAGGUUCGAAUCCUCUCGCUCCGACCA